AACAAGGUUUCCGUAGGUGAACCUGCGGAAGGAUCAUUAACGAGUUUUGAAAGGGGUUGUAGCUGGCCUUCCGAGGCAUGUGCACGCCCUGCUCAUUCCACUCUACACCUGUGCACUUACUGUGGGUCUCAGGCGAGCGUCGGUCGCUUCRCGGCGUCGUCGUUCAACUGGGCUCACGUUUUACUACAAACUAUUAAAGUAUCAGAAUGUCUAUUGCGAAUUAACGCAUUUAUAUACAACUUUCAGCAACGGAUCUCUUGGCUCUCGCAUCGAUGAAGAACGCAGCGAAAUGCGAUAAGUAAUGUGAAUUGCAGAAUUCAGUGAAUCAUCGAAUCUUUGAACGCACCUUGCGCUCCUUGGUAUUCCGAGGAGCAUGCCUGUUUGAGUGUCAUGAAAUUCUCAACCUAACGAGUCUUUGCGGGCUCGGUAGGCUUGGACUUGGAGGUUCUUGUCGGCCUAACGGUCGGCUCCUCUUAAAUGCAUUAGCUCGGUUCCUUGCGGAUCGGCUCACGGUGUGAUAAUUGUCUACGCCGCGACCGUUGAAGCGUUUUGGCCGGCUUCUAAUCGUCUCGUUGGAGACACUACUCUUUAUGACCUUCUGACCUCAAAUCAGGUAGGACUACCCGCUGAACUUAAGCAUAU
rnacentral:rRNA from 1 species